AACGAACGCUGGCGGCAGGCCUAACACAUGCAAGUCGAGCGCCCCGCAAGGGGAGCGGCGGACGGGUGAGUAACGCGUGGGAACGUACCUUUUGCUUCGGAAUAGCCUCGGGAAACUGGGAGUAAUACCGAAUGUGCCCCAUGGGGGAAAGAUUUAUCGGCAAAAGAUCGGCCCGCGUUGGAUUAGGUAGUUGGAGGGGUAAUGGCCUACCAAGCCGACGAUCCAUAGCUGGUUUGAGAGGAUGGUCAGCCACACUGGGACUGAGACACGGCCCAGACUCCUACGGGAGGCAGCAGUGGGGAAUCUUAGACAAUGGGCGCAAGCCUGAUCUAGCCAUGCCGCGUGAGCGAUGAAGGCCUUAGGGUUGUAAAGCUCUUUCGUGGGGGAAGAUAAUGACUGUACCCCAAGAAGAAGCCCCGGCUAACUCCGUGCCAGCCGCCGCAGUAA
rnacentral:rRNA from 1 species